rnacentral:rRNA from 1 species
UACGGAAGGCAGCAGUGGGGAAUAUUGCACAAUGGGCGAAAGCCUGAUGCAGCUAUGCCGCGUGUAUGAAGAAGGCCUUAGGGUUGUAAAGUACUUUCAUCGGGGAGGAAAAAACAAAACUAAUAAUUUUAUUUCUUGACGUUACCCGAAAAAGAAGCACCGGCUAACUCCGUGCCAGCAGCCGCGGUAAUACGGAGGGUGCUAGCGUUAAUCAGAAUUACUGGGCGUAAAGAGCACGUAGGUGGUUUUUUAAGUCAGAUGUGAAAUCCCUGGGCUUAACCUAGGAACUGCAUUUUGAAACUGAAAUACUAGAGUAUCGUAGAGGGAGGUAGAAUUCUAGGUGUAGCGGUGAAAUGCGUAGAUAUCUGAAGGAAUACCUGUGGCGAAAGCGGCCUCCUAAACGAAUACUGACACUGAGGUGCGAAAGCGUGGGGAGCAAACAGGGAUUAGAUACC